rnacentral:rRNA from 1 species
UACGAAGGGGGCUAGCGUUGUUCGGAAUCACUGGGCGUAAAGGGCGCGUAGGCGGCUUUAUAAGUCGGGGGUGAAAGCCUGUGGCUCAACCACAGAAUUGCCUUCGAUACUGUAUGGCUUGAGACCGGAAGAGGUAAGUGGAACUGCGAGUGUAGAGGUGAAAUUCGUAGAUAUUCGCAAGAACACCAGUGGCGAAGGCGGCUUACUGGUCCGGUUCUGACGCUGAGGCGCGAAAGCUAGGGGAGCGAACGGG